AAGCGGUCUGACCACUGAGGCAAACCUCAGUUCGUACCUUUUGCUUUCAAGAAAAUACAAAAGAAUUUAAAGGACGAUGUAUAGCAAAAGUGCUAGUGAAUUGAGCAGAGCCUUUAUCAGCAGAAAAUACAUUCAGAUAUUUCUCUUUCAUGAUUCCACUGACAAACUCUUAACAGAUUUCCCACACUCGGCCGAAUUUGUUAAUUAGAUUCCACCCUUCUGCUGAAUUAGAAUGGGCCUAGGGCCACUGUACUCAGCAUUUAAGCCCAACAGCAUCUGGUACGAAGAUCCUUAGUCGUGAAACAGUAGAAUUGGAGGGUAGCUAAACAAUAGGAAAAUCUCCUGAUGGUUGUAGCAAAGACCUAGAUUUGAAUCUUACCUACACCAGAAUUUGGGGCAUGUUUGGUUGCGGAGGGUUCGGCUCUGAAAUGGAAAUGAGAAUGAGUUCCGGUUCCAAUUUUAAGAGAGAAUAAUAAGAAUGACCUAACCUAUCAAAAUUUAAUCCCAGCUCUCCUC
rnacentral:lncRNA from 1 species